GCUCUCCUGGCGAAAUUGGCAAACGCGAUAGUUUUAGGAACUAUUUCUUCGGAUUGAGGGUUCGAGUCCCUCGGAGAGCA
rnacentral:tRNA from 1 species